ACAUGGACAAGACUUUAUACAUGAAUGUGACUCCAGAUUCACACUGAUGGAAGAGAAUCAGACUGUGUUUCUCCACCUGACCAGUUUAACACCAGAGGAUAGUGGGCACGUCACCUGUGAGUGUUCACUUGUUGGUGGAACAUUAUUCUCCAUCUGAAUAUCACUGUGGAAGAGGAUGAAGACCCCGACCGUAUAGUAACAGAAAUAUCUUUAGUUAAUGUUGGAAUUGGAAUUGGUGUAUUUAUAUUCAUCAUUAUAACCGGAGUUAUCCUGGGAGUUAUCUACAGCAAGAUUCACCAUAGAGUCUGUUCAAGUUUAGCAACAUCUGGAUUAUCUGUGUGUGAAUCUCCUGGCUCUCUGGACCAAGAUGACCCUGAUGACCUCGACAGAAGCCUUCAGCAACCAGAAAGUGAUCUCUACCAAACUAUCUCAAAUCCAGCCAGCAAAAUAGUGACUGUCCACUUGGAUAAAAUGGAAAAAUAGACAAAAGAGAAACUGAUUCAAGUUACAAAAUGUACAUAUUUCUGGGUAAAGAUAUUUGUUAUAUGAGGUGUUUUCCAAAAUACUGAAACUAAAGUUUGUUAAAACACGUCUGUAUGUGAAUGUAUCUGUGUCAUUGGAACUGUAUGAAGAAUAAAUAUCUCAAAGGCAUUGCAAUCACACAAACUACGUUACAGUUUGUUUCUUCAUUUCAACAACUAUAAUUCACUUUCAUCACUUACAGUUGUAGCAAGUUAUAACAGUGCUGUGUGAAUAAGAUAGUGGUUUUAAACUGCAAACAACAUGCUACUUUCUAUGUACAGCUCAAGCUCAGGCGUCUCAGUAUGAGAUCA
rnacentral:lncRNA from 15 species